CAGCCGCCGCGGUAAUACGUAGGUGGCAAGCGUUGUCCGGAAUUAUUGGGCGUAAAUGGCUCGCAGGCGGUUUCUUAAGUCUGAUGUGAAAGCCCCCGGCUCAACCGGGGAGGGUCAUUGGAAACUGGGAAACUUGAGUGCAGAAGAGGAGAGUGGAAUUCCACGUGUAGCGGUGAAAUGCGUAGAGAUGUGGAGGAACACCAGUGGCGAAGGCGACUCUCUGGUCUGUAACUGACGCUGAGGAGCGAAAGCGUGGGGAGCGAACAGGAUUAGAUACCCCAGUAGUCCCUGUCUCUUAUAC
rnacentral:rRNA from 1 species